GGACCGAGUGUACAGACACAUGUGAAUUGGUGAUGCCGGAGCCCUACUUCUUGUGAGGACUAGUGCCUGGUUUCAGUGUACGGGGAUUAUUUGCAAUCUGCUUUUGGAAAAGAUGUCAAUCCAGUGACUACAAACAGAGGAUGUUUAGCAGACCCCUCCUGUAUUAGGCACCAAAGAGCUCUACUGUUGACCUGACAGUGAUCUCUAGGUCACAGAGCCUUGUCUUUAGGGACAAGGCUUUGGAAAAGCAUGAAGGGCAGUAGGAAAUGACAAAGGACUAUGUCAGAGGUUCCUGGUAUUUUCAGAAAAUGUCCUAAAGCUGUAAAUGAGUACGCAUGUCAGAAGUGGGAGACAAGGCCUUUGCUCAGGGGCAACUUGGAGAAUCCAUUCACUGAUGGUGCGGAGAUGCAUCGGUGUCUUCUGGCUGCUCUGGCUCCAGGGUGUUAACCAUCAGGCAAUGAUCAUCUGCAAUUGAAGUCCAGAAGGCAAGUAGAACUUGAGAUCAGCACACUGGCCAUUCCAUUCGGAUGCGAUUUCUCUCCCCAAGGAAUCUGCCACUGGUUAGAUGAACACAGUGACAACAGGGGCAUGAAGCACUUACUCGCUGUGACAAGGAUGGACCUUGUUUGUUUUGUGACAAGCAGACACCGGCAUGGGUGAGAAGGAAGCUCAUGGAGGGGGCAGGUGGGCUUCCAGGCAGAUUCUUUGCCUAGAACGUCAAACACCUGUCCCAGACAGUGCCCGGGGCUCCUUGCUGCCCGCCCGUUCCCAGCAGCAUGUGGGCAGAAGAACCUGCCACCAGCAUCGCUGUUCUGCACGGAGUAAGAAAACACACUGAAGAGCUUUUCUGGGUGAUUUGUUCAGAUUUGCUUAAUUUCCAGCCUGAUCCCGACAAGACGCUCUGGCCUUGGGGCAAUACUGACACCAAGUGUUGGGAUCUGUAAGACUGAAAGGAAAGUGAGACCCAGGCAUGGUAUGCCCACCCUCAAGGAACAGAAAUCUAGGGGAAUGGUCAUGGGGGACACACUCCCUGCUGUGCUCACAGUGUGGGUUUUGGCACAUCCUUCCUUAGCAGAGAUGAUUAUCCAAAGCCUAUUUGGUUUUAGUUACAAAAUUUAAAAGAUAAACUAGUUCUUCUCAAUGGUUUGUUUGUCUUUGCUUUCCUGGGGAUUGAAUCUAAGGCUCCCUGCAUACCAGGCAAGUACUCUACCAUUGACCCAUAGUCCCUCUUUUGACUCCUUUUUUUUCUUGAAUAUUUUUUAUGUUUGUCUUAUUUUAUGUACGUAGGUGUUUUGCCUGUACGUAUGCCUGUGUAUCACGUGUCUGCCUGUGUGCCCUCAAGGACACAGGAAGGUGCGGAUCCACCAGAAUUGGAGCUACAGAUGUUUGUGCACUGCCCUGUGGAUGCUGAGAAUUGAACCUGGGUCCCCUGGAAGAGCAGCCAGUGCUCUUAGCAAUGGGGACAUUGCUUUGAUCCUCCUAUGACUUUCUGAGAUGGAUCUUACUCAGUUUCCCAGGCUGGACUUGAAUUUUCCAUUCUCCUGCCUCAGCUUCCUAAAUAACUGGGAUGCUGGUCUGGGCGACCAGGACUAGAUCUAGAUCUUUUAGGUAUCUAAGUUCAGUUUCUAAACACCAUUAUUUAUUAGCAAAGAACAUUCUUACUCAUUUUCAUUAUUUGGAAACUCUGUUAAUCAAAACUUAAGUAUUUUAAAAACAAGUUUAAAAAUGUGAGAGAAUACACUUAAAUAUUUAAAAAGACUUACUAAGAUAAUUAUGAGAUAGUCUCAGAUAUUGGCAUCUCAUUUGGAAAUUUGUUAUAAUCAGAUUUCCUUUAAGCAUGUCAGAAUAAAAUGGCUUCCCAGAUACUUAAUAACUUUAUAUGAGAACAGGUAAGAUAAAUAAGUUAGGUAGUUUAAGUUAAUGAAAUGCCUCAACACUGCUUACAAACUGAAAAAACAAUCUCAUGCCUUCCAACUUAGUAUUAUUUAAAUAAUUAAAAGACAUUUUACACCAAAAUUGUAAGUUUCUUGGAUAUGAUCUUUAAUGGGGUGAGUGAUCUCUAACAGUGUAUUUAACAUUAAAUAAAAAUAUCCAUUGCUGUGUAAUAUUGCACAACAAUAGUAA